UAUUGAGAGUUUGAUCCUGGCUCAGGACGAACGCUGGCGGCGCGCCUAACACAUGCAAGUCGAGCGAUGAACAUUGAAUGAUCCCUUCGGGGUGAUUUCGAUCGGAUUAGCGGCGAACGGGUGAGUAACGCGUGAGGAACCUGCCUCUUACAACGGGAUAGCCUCGGGAAACCGGGAUUAAUACCGUAUAAGACUCCGACANNNNNNNNNNNNNNNNNNNNNNNNNNNNNNNNNNNNNNNNNNNNNNNNNNNUGAUGAAGUCAAAGCGUUAGCGGUAAGAGAUGGCCUCGCGUCUGAUUAGCUUGUUGGCGGGGUAACGGCCCACCAAGGCGACGAUCAGUAACCGGCCUGAGAGGGUGAACGGUCACAUUGGAACUGAGACACGGUCCAAACUCCUACGGGAGGCAGCAGUGGGGAAUCUUGCACAAUGGGGGCAACCCUGAUGCAGCGACGCCGCGUGAGCGAUGAAGGUUUUCGAAUCGUAAAGCUCUGUCCUAUGGGAAGAUAAUGACGGUACCAUGGGAGGAAGCCCCGGCUAACUACGUGCCAGCAGCCGCGGUAAUACGUAGGGGGCGAGCGUUGUCCGGAAUUACUGGGCGUAAAGGGUUCGCAGGCGGCAUGGCAAGUCCGAUGUAAAAGGCGAAGGCUCAACCUUCGUAAGCAUCGGAAACUGUCAAGCUUGAGUGAAGGAGAGGCAAGUGGAAUUCCUAGUGUAGCGGUGGAAUGCGUAGAUAUUAGGAGGAAUACCGGUGGCGAAGGCGACUUGCUGGACUUCAACUGACGCUGAGGAACGAAAGCGUGGGUAGCAAACAGGAUUAGAUACCCUGGUAGUCCACGCCGUAAACGAUGAGUGCUAGGUGUCGGGGGUCAUACCUCGGUGCCGCCGUUAACACAAUAAGCACUCCGCCUGGGGAGUACGUGCGCAAGCAUGAAACUCAAAGGAAUUGACGGGGACCCGCACAAGCAGCGGAGCAUGUGGUUUAAUUCGAAGCAACGCGAAGAACCUUACCAGGACUUGAAAUACUAGCGCCCGCUUUAGAGAUAAAGUUUUUUCUUCGGAAACGCUAAUACAGGUGGUGCAUGGUUGUCGUCAGCUCGUGUCGUGAGAUGUUGGGUUAAGUCCCGCAACGAGCGCAACCCUUACUUUUAGUUGCCAGCACGUAAUGGUGGGAACUCUAAAGGGACUGCCGAUGAUAAAUCGGAGGAAGGUGGGGAUGACGUCAAAUCAUCAUGCCCUUUAUGUCCUGGGCUACACACGUGCUACAAUGGUCGGUACAGAGGGCAGCAAACGAGCGAUCGCAAGCGAAUCUCAAAAAGCCGAUCCCAGUUCGGAUUGCAGGCUGCAACUCGCCUGCAUGAAGUCGGAGUUGCUAGUAAUCGCGAAUCAGAAUGUCGCGGUGAAUGCGUUCCCGGGUCUUGUACACACCGCCCGUCACACCAUGGGAGUUGGCAAUACCCGAAGCCAGCGAGCCAACCGCAAGGAGGCAGCUGUCGAAGGUAGGGUUAAUGACUGGGGUGAAGUCGUAACAAGGUAGCCGUAUCGGAAGGUGCGGCUGGAUCACCUCCUU
rnacentral:rRNA from 1 species